rnacentral:rRNA from 1 species
AUGUCGAGCCGUAGGUCAAGGUCAAGGCAGUCCGGCUCGUCGAGGAUCACUGACGAGCAAAUCAGCGACCUUGUCUCCAAGUUGCAGGACCUCCUUCCCGAGGCGCGUCUCCGGGGCAAUGAUAGAGUGCCAUCUUCAAGGGUGCUGCAGGAGACGUGCACCUACAUCAGGAGCUUGCACCGGGAGGUGGACGACCUGAGCGAGAGGCUGUCGGAGCUGCUGGCGACCUCGGACAUGAGCAGCGCGCAGGCGGCAAUCAUCCGCAGCUUGCUGAUGUAG